GUUUGAUUUUUCUGGAAACUUGAAAAGAAUGUUUUAUUUUUGUUGUUACUAGAAUCCCAAUCACAUAUCAUCUUUAACAAUAACUAAAAUGUCUCAAAGUCGGUAACUGGUGGAAUACAGGGAUGAAUGUGCAGGUCUGCUCUCCAGUUUGAUUGGCAGAGAAGCACUCUGUAGUAACAUGAGAACAAAUGUUUUCAGAAAAUCAACUGGUUUUUCCAGAAUCUUGACUGAAAUGUUCAGAAUAGUAUCAAAUUUGUCACUGAUCCUUCUAUGUUCCUUUUGAAAUUUAUUAUUUAAGCCUGUUACUAAACCUUUAUAAAAAUAUAUUUGGCAAGUACACCAAAGACACCAGCUCAUAAAAGAUUAUGAUCAUUAAUGAACUGCAAACCUCAUCUUUUGCAAACAGAAGAUUUUUUUUGUGUGUGUAAAUAUUUGUGUUUAUAAAUGUACAGCAGAGUAAGGGUGUUUUUUAGAUUAUUUAAUUUCCAUAUUUCUAAACUAUUUACUACAGAAUAAUCCACACUUGUUAGUUUGGAGGACUUGACAAUUUUGUUUUUUUAAUUCAUUAUCAGUCAUGCUUGGAGCAGCAUUUCCGCUAGAGAAUUCAGUGUUCUGGCAGUAGCAAGAGUACACAUCUGGAGCGUGAGGGAGUCUAGCUUGAUUUGUCAGAUACACACCCUACGAGACGAGAAUGUGUAGUUUAAUUACCACAGUGGACCAUACAAAAACUGAGGUUCUAACUUUGGUGCAGAAUUGCUCAUCAGCCCAGAGUGUCAUUGGGAUGAGGCCCUUGGCCCACAGAUUAGCUCUCAUGUAACUCCUAGUGUGUUAUAUCAUAAUGUAUUUUGUUCUUCCUUUGUAAUGUAAGUUUUGCUUUGGGUCAGUUUGAAUU
rnacentral:lncRNA from 1 species